rnacentral:rRNA from 1 species
CGGACGGGUGAGUAAUGUCUGGGAAACUGCCUGAUGGAGGGGGAUAACUACUGGAAACGGUAGCUAAUACCGCAUAACGUCGCAAGACCAAAGUGGGGGACCUUCGGGCCUCUUGCCAUCGGAUGUGCCCAGAUGGGAUUAGCUAGUAGGUGGGGUAAUGGCUCACCUAGGCGACGAUCCCUAGCUGGUCUGAGAGGAUGACCAGCCACACUGGAACUGAGACACGGUCCAG